rnacentral:rRNA from 1 species
GACGAACGCUGGCGGCGUGCUUAACACAUGCAAGUCGAACGGAAAGGCCCUUCGGGGUACUCGAGUGGCGAACGGGUGAGUAACACGUGGGUGAUCUGCCCUGCACUUCGGGAUAAGCCUGGGAAACUGGGUCUAAUACCGGAUAUGAUCAUGCUCUUCAUGGGGUGUGGUGGAAAGCUUUUGCGGUGUGGGAUGGGCCCGCGGCCUAUCAGCUUGUUGGUGGGGUAAUGGCCUACCAAGGCGACGACGGGUAGCCGGCCUGAGAGGGUGUCCGGCCACACUGGGACUGAGAUACGGCCCAGACUCCUACGGGAGGCAGCAGUGGGGAAUAUUGCACAAUGGGCGCAAGCCUGAUGCAGCGACGCCGCGUGGGGGAUGACGGCCCUCGGGUUGUAAACUGCUCUUAUCAGGGAAGAAACCACCGGAUUCAUCUGGUGUUGACGGUACCUGAGGAAUAAGCACCGGCUAACUCCGUGCCAGCAGCCGCGGUAACAC